rnacentral:lncRNA from 1 species
UUUUAAACAACGUCAUUUCGGAACAUGACGGCGCGCUAACAGUUAGUAGAACACGACAGCAGUCUCCAAUAGGCCUACUCAUGAAUGGCCCAAUAUUCAUCUGCCGUUUGUUCUUUUAUUCAUUACCAUUUGAUUUCUUCUAGGGAACUUCACUGCCGUUUGAUGGGUUCAUCACAAAUCCAUGGAAUUUCCACGAGGCAAAACCUCGCUAAGGAGACCCAUUUGGUUCGGUCGUGUCCGUUUGGGUCCGCACGACACAAACGCAUAUUUUGUCCGCUUCAUGUCCGUGCGACUCGUUUUGCGUCCAUAUUCCCGCAAAAAAGAAGAGACUUGUGUUCGCCUCGGACUUGCACAUCACCACCCAACCACCACCUACCGGUCCUAUUUAAUUUCACGGGUGCGCUUGGACUCGCUCAUCAGCCACGUAACCCAUUCCAUGUGUGUCCUUUUUAAUGCCACGCGUGCGGUGGGAGUGGGGCGCCCAGUCCACUUCUUCAACAACCCUCUUCCCUCUUCUUCCUCUCCUCCCCCCNNNNNNNNNNNNNNNNNNNNNNNNNNNNNNNNNNNNNNNNNNNNNNNNNNNNNNNNNNNNNNNNNNNNNNNNNNNNNNNNNNNNNNNNNNNNNNNNNNNNNNNNNNNNNNNNNNNNNNNNNNNNNNNNNNNNNNNNNNNNNNNNNNNNNNNNNNNNNNNNNNNNNNNNNNNNNNNNNNNNNNNNNNNNNNNNNNNNNNNNNNNNNNNNNNNNNNNNNNNNNNNNNNNNNNNNNNNNNNNNNGACUCCUCGUUGGGGUGCCGCGCAGCCAACUUCACCAUGUCGUCGCACCAUGCUGAGCCAUCAGCAUGCCUUCGCCUCUACAUCCAUGUCCACCGCUGCAAGUACUUCUGGGAGCAUGGCAUGUUGGUGCAGUGGUCCGGUGUGAACGUGAUGAACGGGUGGCAUCUCAACCACGACAGGGUUUCGGUGUCGGUGAUGCUGGUCUCAGAUCGCGCACGGCUGGCAAAGAUCUGUCACCGUCAUGCUCAACUCUCGGUUGAGCUCCACCACGAUAUAGCGUAUGCGAUGGACUCGCCGAACUGGGACGUGUGUUCACCUUCGAGCAUGACUUACGCCGUCAGUUGAGCUUCAAGGGUACGCCCCGUGCACCGCACGAGCUUGCCGCUCCACCACCACUGUUGGUGGUGCAGGAGGAGGAUUGGGCGGUCGAAGAUGCCUACAUUACGGACCGCGAGAAAGCCACAAGGAAGGCCAUUGAGAAGUCCGAGCUUGAGGAGCUCGCCAGGUAGCCUGCCUUUCGCAAGUCCUGGCCUAAUCGGCGGGUGGAGUGCAGCUGAACGCACCCCCACUGCCACCAGCCCUGCCUGCGCUCGAGCCAAUGGAAGAGUGGUGGGAGCUGGAGCACCUGUCUUGGUCGUGGACAAGCACGGUGCCCUGUUCGCCCAUGCACGUGGCAUGGGCGCGUCCUAGGAAGAGGUCAAACGCUGGCAACGCUCCAGGAGGCGUUUCCGUGGAUGCAGGCGCCGGUCUUCGUCCUCCUAACCAAAGAGGAUGAGGAUGACGACGCAUAGUUUUUUUUUAGUUUUUUCAGUUUAAAUUAAUGCAAAACUUGAUAUGCUGUCUGUUUUCAAAUUUUGAAUUUGCGUCCAAAUGCGCAAUGUGUCCGUUCACGUUGGACACAUUUAUGAGCCGGCGGACAAAUCAGACUUUGGUGUUCGUCUAGCCGACCCAAACAGAAAAAAGGGGAUAAAAUUCGCUUUCAUUUGGGUCUGUCGUUGGAGUUCGCAUGGAAGCCCCCUUGUGGCGCCGUCCAUCCCCCUUGCAUCGUCCCAUGUCGCGGUCACAGCAUCGCUCCUCACCUGUCGCAGCAGCCGCGCACCUUUGCCGUAGCCGCCCCACCUCGUCCUUGUGUUCGCUCACCAUCGUCCAUCGGUGCGCCCGCCGGUUCGCAACGUCCUCGCUAGUCCGCUUGCAGUGCUGGCCCACAAGGGAGACGCGUGCGAGCGUGGGAGCGACCGCCUCGCACUCCUAGCCGUUAAUUCACCUUCUCUUAUUACACUGCUCUGUAGAAGAAGAGAAAAAACGGUCUCGUUGCUAACAAUUGUAGCAGAUGACUCGUGGCUGUCUGAAUCGAAGAGGAGAUGUUGGAGGCGGACAGAUAUGAAAUGGCUCGUUAGAACUUCGACAGACCUACUUCUGUGCCCAUUUCAUCGAUUCGACGGUGGUGCGGAGUUCUGCGAACAGACUACGACUGCCUACGCGUGUAUCUCAAUAAAUAAGUCUCAACAUGGAUGUAGUCACCAAUCCAUUGUCGUCCAGCGGUUAGGAUACCUGGCUUUCACCCAGGCGACCCGGGUUCGAUUCCCGGCAAUGGAAUGUUUUUUCUCAUUUUGGAGUUUUUUUCAUUGGUAACAUUUGUUCCUUCGACUGUCCUUUUUUUUGGUUAUUCUCUAGAGCCGCAGUGGUACCUUUUAUUUAUACGUUGCAAAAAUAACUUCGUAGCUUUGCUCAGCAAUUUGUGCUUCCAAAUUUCAUCAGAGUUACCAACGAUUAUUUGUUUCUAAUGUGUAGAACUAGCUGACGAAUCAGGACUCGGCAUUUGCUCAAUAUUCAUCCUUCUUUUACAUUCUUAUUACUGCCGGGAGCCACAAAACUGAUCACAAUUCAUCGGAAUCUCCAGACAAAAACACCUUGCUACGAAGGCCCAUCAACACUUUACAACGCAGUAUCCUCCUUCCUUCCAAUACCAGCUAAAUUUCCAAUUUCCAUCCCAGAUGCAAAAUACCCGAUCGAGCGUGCCACUCAAACUACACAAGACUAAUACAAGUACAGUAGUGAUAACCACAAUGACAGCUGAGCUGUGUAACGGGCCAAAGGAAUGGAUGAAUAAGGCAAACUGCCGCUGUUCAUGUGCAAGAAAAUACGACGGACGGACGGACGGUGAUAUAAAAGAAAAAUGCCGGACAGGCGAAGGGUAGGUAGAUGACCCCGCAGAGGCUCUUAGACCUAGGGCCGUAUGCAGGCAAAAGCUUUGGAACCGGUGUUUGGUUUGCUGUGAUAGUUCGCUGUGCAGAGCGGUCGAUUAACCCCAUUUGACGAUAGCCGAACCCCAGGUGAGUCCAGCUCCGAAGCCAGAUGCUGCGAUGAUGUCGCCCGCCUUCACCUUCCCGCCGCGAACAGCCUCAUCCAGUGCUAAUGGGAUGGAUGCCGCGCUGGUAUUGCCGUAAUUGGCAAGGUUUGAGAUGACUUUUUCCGAUGGGAUAGAUAACCGACUGGCAGCGGCAUCGAUGAUCCGCUGGUUAGCCUGUAAACGUCGAUAGGGUCAGUUAGGUCGAUGCUUCAGGUCAAAGAGUUUCAUGAUCGACAGGAUAGGAUACUCACUUGGUGAAGCAACAGCCAAUCUAUACUGGAGGCAGGUAGGCCGGCCUCCUCUAGCGCCUUCUCGAUGGACUGUGGAACACAACGUACAGCAAAGCGGAAAACCUCCUUUCCGUUCAUUUCGAUGCAAGAAAAGUUGGUCUUCUUUGGUGGGAAGCCAGGGACACCAUUGGUCUUGGAUAAGAUCGAGUCAGCGUUCGACGACGAACAAUGCAGGUGCCUACAUAAGUAAGCAGCAAACAUAAGAAAGUGACCUACUAGAAAUGUAACCAGGACACUUCUUUAGAAAGAAGGCAUACUUUUGCCCAUGGCCAUCACUUUGCACGCAAAAACCUAGCAAACCAUCUUCAUCAGCAUUGCAUGACUGCGAUAUUGAGGAUUAAAAAUUAGACAAAAGAACUUGCAGAAGGAUCUUGCAAAUUACAAUGCCACGCUAAUACCCAACAGUGAAUCGCUGUAAUACAACAAAUUGCAGUGUCUUACCCAAUAGACUACACAGAAAGACUACAGCCAAUUGAACCAUGGAAAGCAGACGACCAUUUCAGCAAGAAGGAACAGAUACCUGGACCAAAACAGCACCAGCAGCAUCGCCAAAGAGGAUGCAUGUACCUCUAUCUGUCCAAUCCACAUAUUGUGAAAGAGCAUCUGCACCAACUACAAGGACAUUUUGAAUACCUCCACCUACAAUAGUGGCAGAUAAUAAAUUAUUAAUCCAACAAGGCGCUCAAUAACAACCUACUGUGAAUAUUUAACAAGGGAAUUACCUUUGAUAAAACGAGUAGCUGUAAUUAAACCAACAAUGAAUCCACUACAGGCAGCAGUGAUAUCAAAGCCAAAUGCAUUUGUGCACCCCACCUCCGCCAGCACCUGUUUUCAUUUUAUCCUGAUGUUAUUUAUGCGAAAAUGGGCAUAUAAAAUGCAUAAAGCACUAAAGCAGACUGGCAUUGAUGAUUAGAACAACUAAUUUACUGAUAGUACAAAACAUUAACAGUACUCCUCCGUCCCAAAAAGCUUUUCGCUCAAAUGGAUGUAUCUAGACAAGCUUUUUGGGGCGGAAGGAGUACUAAACAGGGAAAAAACUUGAAUGAAAAUACAAAAAUGGAAAGACCAUUACAUAGUUUAUAUUAUUUGAUGACUACGUUAUUAUCAAAUAUAGGCUGCUCCACAAUGUAUGCCAGUGAAAUAUUUUUAGUUUUGACUAUCAAAUAUAGAUAUGUAAUAACUUCAUAGUACCAAUAUAGUCAUCACAAAUGAAACAUACUAUCAUCAUACAUAUUCAUUGUCAUGCAUCACAACAUACUUCCACAGAAAUCACUUUUCUCCGUUCUAAAUACAUCUCAUUCUAGCUUCUGGAUUUUUGUUCCGAAAUACAUGCCAAUUACAAGUUUGAGGCAACUACUGCGGUACUGCCAUUGUUUGCUUUGCAUAUCCCUAACAUUCAUUAAUAUACUAGAUUAACACAUAACAUCCAACAUUCAUAAAGCUAAUUAUGGAGGCAAAUGUAUUCAUAAAUGAGCUAAUUAUGGAGGCAAAUGUUAGUGUCUUGUAUACAUGCCUUAGUUGGAGUUCCCUAAAUUACAGCCAUUCAGGAACAGAGGGAGUAUUGUUCAAAGACUGAAUGUAGUACUUUGGAGACUAUCAGUACUGAAAUGAAAAAAAUUACUGACAGAGAGUAUUAUAAUUUAGAAAGAAAUUCCUCAGAUAAACUUAACAAUAAGAUAGCACCAUUUGGACCCAACUUAUGAUAUACAGUAAAAGAAAAAGGAAAAUAUUCUCAAGCAUGAGAUGACUCGCAUUAAAAGCAGGAAUAUGCAGUCGCUCAAACAUAUCAUUGUUUUAAAUAACAUCAGUUUCCACACAAGUAUGACAACCACUGUAUUCUAGAGAAAAGGAAUGGAUGACAACUAAUAGAAUGAUUCAAUAGAUGUGCAUAGCCAUACCUGACCAGCACCGCCAAAGAGAUCGUCUGGAGUAGAUGUGCAAAAGAGAACAAGGUCAACAUCUUCAGGUCUUACUUGGGCCAUCUCAAGUGCCCUUUGUGCUGCCUUUACUGAAAGCCCUCCCAGUGUUUCGCCUCCUAACACAUUUGAAAAGAACAAAUUACUCCUGAAACAUAAACAAAUGAAAUAUGUCUCCAAAACGGAAUCGUUGUGACUCCUAAGCUUUCUUCCACAAAAUCUGAUACUCUGUUACCUGCCUACUUACACACAGUGGGGCCAACUCCCAAUGAUGUUAUUCACAUGUUUUAUAAUUAGAUAUGUACUUUUUUUGCGGGAAAAUUAGAUAUGUGCAUUGACUUUAAAAAGUUGUGAAAAGCGAUGUGUUUAUUAUAUACUCCCCCCGUAAAUAAAUAUAGAACGUCUUAUAAGCCAGCCAGGAAUUAGGUAAGAUCCCAAGACAUAAAUUUAUCAGCAUUUAUAUUUAUUCUUCAAUCCGUUCAUUUAUUAUAUUUACAAUAGCUCGUGCCCACGUCACAUGGUGUUGCUAGUCCUUAACCAUGUAUACAGAAGGGUGCUUUGCGACAAAUGCUCAUUUACAAUCAUUAAUUGAAUCGACGUGCGUUCAUUAAACUACUUAAACCACCAACAACGAUGUGACACACAUAUCAUCCACAAGUUGUCACCUAGCUAAGAGAAGAAAAUAAAUACUCAGAAGCAACCAGUAUACAUCAUGCCAGAGGGGCCACAAUUGGCCUGAAUCAGGCUAGCUUAGCGAACGAGGAGGGAAAGAAGUGUAAUACAAAAUACCUGAAAGAACCCGCCUGUUCCGAAUCCCAGUCCGCGCAGCGAUCCAUUCAUCGGACGUUUCAACAAAUUUUGAAAGGUCGUCAUUUGAAAUACAAAGUGAUGGGGUGGCCGAUCCGCUUCCGAUGAGCUUUGAGCCCAUGCCAACCACCCUGCAAUUUCCCAUGACCGUUAAGAAAUUUUCUACCACGGUAAAUCCUAAAUCAUGUUAGCAAUAAUUGAGAUGAGUGACCCCAGCAACACAGUUGGAUCAAGACGCAAGCAGCAGCAUUGUGGCACUGCCUACCGCACAGUGAGCUACAAAAAUAGCAUCAUCUGCCGCCGCAUUUAUGAGCAAGCUGGGCAGAUCCCCAUCGCUGGGUCAUGGAUUGGAGACCACGAGUAUUGCUGGGGUCUAGCGAGCUACCAUCUGCACAACGCUAUGCAUGAGGGUGACCUAUUCUGGUGACAUGCUGUGAGACUAGUGACAAGAGGCAUCGUGGCACCAUCGCUAUAGUACCAAGGAGCAGAAGCUUCUCAACAGUGAUGAGCAUCCGAUCUGACUACAUAGAACUGCUUCAUUUCGAUCUUAAAAUUCCCGUAUAAACCCGUAGCAGCACCAAAAGGAAGGCCCCAGAGCCCCCUUAUGCAGUGCGAGCCAACGCAGCCUAAUAAAUGAGAAACUGCCCCAGAUAAGGGUAGUUGAACCUGCUACCGGAAAGCCACUCACCGACUAACCAAAUCACAUACUAAACGAGCACCUGAUUGAGACCAAAACCUGAGCCGGUUGAAACCAAAACCCGAGCCGAAUCAUGGACAGAUCAAACUGAAAAUCACGCUAUCCUAGCGGAAUCUCCCCGGAACCAGACAAUGAGGACCGCGGAGGAAGAUCCUUGGUAAACGAACAGCGCAAGCAUCACGCCUCUGGCGCGAGGAGGGACUAAAUUCAUGUUAACAGAGAUUGGAGAAGCAGAGCGCGAGCAGUCACUGACUGAUUCGCAUCUCGGAGCGUCGCCAUUGCGGGUAGUGGGGCGCGUGAGCGGGGGCAGUGGCGUGGGGUUACCUGGGGAGGCGGGGCCUGGGCGCGGCCGGCGCGACCACGCUGUCGUCGACGGCGGAGGCGCAGCACCGGACGGAGGCCUUAGCGGGUGCGGGCACCGGAGGGGAUCGGAGGAAGCCGGGCCGGUGGCCUGCGCGGGCCCGCGCGCAGGUGGAUACCGCCGCGGCCCGCGGCGGCGCGAUGCCGGAGGCGGCGACCAUGGCCGGAGAUCUCGCGGCGGCGGCGGCGGCGGCCCCGCGGAGAGAGAGCAGCAGUGAGGAGGGAAUCAGUGGAGGGUGGGCGGCGGGUGCGAGGGGGAGAGUGGCCGGGGGAGUGGAUAUAGGGGCGGCGGCGGUGGGAACGGUGGGCGGUGGUGAUGGUUGCGAGGUGGGUGGGGCCGCGGCGCAGGUGGGGAGGGGGAGGGGGAGGGGGGAAGGAGCUUCGAAAGCUCCGCCCGGAGGCGAGGGAGGCCUUUUUUAUGGGGAAGGUGAUGCCGAUGCGGGCCGUGCCGUGGGUGACUGACCCCGACUGACACCCACACGGCCACACCCUAUGCGGACGGGAACGGAUCCUCUAACAUCAUGAAGGGACGUCACGAAGCUACAGUGAAAUCCCAGUGCAAAACGAAGAAGGGAUGUCACAGACACUGUAGCAAAGACACUGUGCAUAGUUACUGUUCACAGAAAAUAAAAUCUGAAAUUAAUUUUAUUGCAUCAUAAUUUUGUUUGUAUGUAAUUUUUGUAAAUGUAUACAAUAGAUUUGUAAUUUGCAAAUUAAUUCAAGUCAUUUUAGGCUUAAUCAUAUGGAUGUAAAGAAGGAAUGUUAGGAUACUGUAGCUUCUCUAACAUCCCUUGAUGUUAGAGGAUCUCGUUCCUAUGCGGACUGCCUUGGCUUGGCUGGCCUCGGGGUUGGACCGGUGGAGCGCCCCAAGCCGUUCCCCCCCUAGUUCUCGACGGAAACCGGCCACAUCGUCGGGGAUAUCGAGCGGAAAGGGAAAGGGGUCGAUGCGGCGCGUACGUGCAGAGCGCAACUCAUUUUGGGUACCGUGUGAUCGAUCGUAGCGGCCGUGCGGUGGAGGACUCCGCGCCGGUAUCGUGCAACGUAGCGGUCGGUCGGUCGCCGAUGCCCUACCCUUGGCUUGUCACGCGGCCUCUCCACUCCGGGUCUCCGUCCUCGCCCAGCUUCGGACGCAUCGGUCGUCAUCGUGCGUACAGUACGACCUUUGGCACCGGUACGGCUAGCAACUGUAGCGUUUAACGCCUCCCCCCCUCUCUCUCUCUCGGUCGCCUCGCUGGUCACCGGUUAACCACAGGGCCUGUUUUUGUUUGCGAAAACCACAUGGACUGUUGACUCCUACGGUCAUCAACAACAGACUUUGAUAUGUUGUGUUUUUUCCUGGGUUUUUUUUUCUUCGCAGAGACAAAUAUCCUCACACUCUUUUCUCACACUAGCACUCGGGUGCAUGCAAAGCACGUAAAUCGGAAUUUUAAUUGCACACCACAACUCUGUGGGAACAAAAUACGGGCAAUACCUCGUUUCGGGUGAUUUCUCUCGUUUUUCAGCCAACAUAUAGUGAUUAAUAUGACGUCGGGCCAUAUUGCGAGCUUUGUUGUGUUACUGAUCACACUGGCGUUCUGCUGGUUUUCAGAAGAAUGAAGACACUGCUAGAUACAAUUAAAUUACUGUGGAUGUAAAUCUCGGCCACCUAGACCAAUGGAUCUAUAUCAAUCAACGGCCGAUAUCACAUCUCAAGCGUAGGAUUCGAAAUUUCAAAAUUGAUACACUAUAUAGUACUAGUAGCAUAGAUAUUUUGUCAAACUUUAUCUGCCCUACUGCCAAGCACGGUUAAUUGUCUUCAUUCCUAUUUGAGAAUAUUGUCAAACUAAUUGUCUUGAUUCAUAUUUGAGAAUAUGUUAUCCAAACUAGAAGGUUGUACACCGAAGCGGUGUGAGAAUCGUGGAGUUAGCAGAGUUAUUAGAUUCUCAAAUACCUGGGAAAUGAAAGUAAAAUGUCUUAAUUUAGAACCAUAAAUGAGCAGUGCACCGUUCAAAUGUUAUUGGCUUGUUAGGAGUUACAAUACCAUUAUCAUCAUAUUUGGGAAAAAUGUAUCCAAACUAGAAAGUUAUACACCAAUGGGUGGAUGGGAGUUGUGGAUGUAGAAGAGCUACGAGAUUUCUCAAUUAUUCGGUAAACAUAAAACGUCUUGAUUUGUAGCCAUAGGCGAGAAAUUUAGUUGUUGGAGUUACAACACCAGUAACAUCCUACUAUUUGGUAAUAUUGUGUCUGAACUAGAAGGUUACACGCUCAUGCAGGAUGAGAACCGUGGAGGUAGAAGAGCUAUGGGGUUCUCAGUUAUACAUGGAGCAAAUCAAAUGUCAAUUCAAUUUCAUAAACGAGAAUUGUAUAAUUGAACGACUAUUGGUUUGUUAAGAGUUAUAGUACCGCUACCAUCCUAUUUGGUAUUAUUGCCAAGGCAAGUUGAUAACCGUGGAGAUAGAAGAGCUACGAGAUUCUCAACUAUCGGGUAAACAAAAGUAAACCAAAUUGGCCUGGUUCCAAUAUCUAGAAUCCAUGUUGAAUCACCACUUAACAAGAACACUUCAACUAGGGAGAUGAAGAAUGGGGUCGAAGUAGAACCAUAUAUGAGAAUUGUGUCGUUCGAAGGCUACUUUUUCUCAGGAGUUACAAUACCACCAUCAUCCUAUUUGGGUAUCCAACCUAGAAGGGUAUACUCCAAUGCGGGUUGAGAAAUGUGGAGGUAGAAGAUAUAUGGUAUUCUCAAUUAUCCGUAACGAAAGUGAAUGUCUUAAUUCAAAAUAACAAAUUAGAAUUGUAUCAUUUGAAGGCUACUGAUUUGAGGAGUUACAAUACCACUAUCAUCCCAUAUGGGAAUACUAUAUCCAGUUUACCCCCUUCGUCCCAAAAUAAGUGUUGUUGAUUUAGUACAGCUUAUUUUGGGGCAUAGGGAGUAGAAGAUUAUACACCAAUGUGAAGUGAGUUUUGUUGAGGUAGAAGAGCUAUGAUAUUCUCAAUUAUCCGGUAAACGAAGGUAAAUGUCUUAAUUCAAAACCAAAUUAUAUUUGUACCGCUCGAAGGAUAAGUCAUAAGUGUUUCUUUUCAUCAAGUUUAGGUAGCUUACCACAUGUGCCACCUGUAGGAUACUGGUUCGUUAGGGCUAAAAUAUUGUUAUCAUCGUUUUUGGAAAUAUUGUAACCAAACUAGAAAGUUAUACACCAAGGUUGGGUGAGAAUUGUGGAGGUAGAAGAGCUAUGAGGUUCUAUAGCGAUAUGUGAGAUAUUGUGUUGGUUGUCAUGGUAGCUCUGUGAAAUAACUGAAAAUAGUGAGACGAAAAAGUUUGUGUUUCAAAGAGGAUGUUCUUACUUCUAUGUCAAACCAAUAUGGCAAUAGUAUCGUGCCCUGGCUAACCGUUGCAACAAUAUUUAACAAGAAACAAAUAGUUCUUUGAAGCAUGUCUGCCGCAACUAUGAACACAAGCGGAUGCUUGACGUCCAUGCAAACUAGAACUCUUUUCCACACUAAUAUCUAGCUUAUAUUUAUUAAUAAAGUUGUUUACCAAAACAUUGGGUCGUGUAAAUAUGAAUCAUGCAUUUAGACUUAACUAUCUUUUUUUGCGAAUCAACCUGUGGUUGAAUGGUUAGAGGGACUAUGGUAUCCCAGUCCACCAGGGUUCAAGUCCUGGUGCUCACAUUUGUUCCUAGAUUUAUUUCAGGAUUUUCGGCGAUGCGCAUUCAGUGGGAGGAGACGCUUCCGUCGACGACGAGGUGCCUACGGUGACUUCGCAAAUUUCAAGAUGAUAUGUCGGUUCAGUCUUCCGGAGGUGCUCAUAGCUGUAGGAUGUGCGUGUGUACGUCGAUAGGGGGUGAGUGUAUGUGCGUGUAUAUGGGCGCUUGCGUCUAUACUAUGUUUAAGAAAACUAUCUUUUUUGGGAAAGGACUCAAAUCUAUUACUAUUGCAGAAGUUCAUCAGAAGUACAAAUCACUUCAAACACAAUAAAAUGACAAUUAGGUCCCUAAACAAUUGGAUGACAUUGUCGUUGUCAGAACGAGCCGCCGACACGCUGUUGUCAUCACUUCUAUACUGGAGUUGUUCCGACCAUGACAGCUGAGAAGUCUUUGUGAAUGUACCCAUAAGGACAACGCCUUGAAGCCGCAAUCGUCGUUGUUAAACACUUGAACUGUUCUAAAAACCGACACCAAAUAAAUCUUGCCGUCACAUAUGUACAAUGAGAAAACCUAACUUCGACGUCUUAAGGAGAUGACAUGAAUCUAUGAGGGAGCGCCGCCUAAUCCUUUCAACGGACAAACUUGAGGAGAAUCGAAAACCUAAGGCUGACUCAAAGAAACGGUGACAUUCGUCUGACUGCCAACCUUGUGAGGACUAAAACCCUAAACUAUCUACAAGUCGAAACUAAGGCACCGAGAUUCUCCCCCCACCACCAACCGCCGAAGUGGCAGGUAGAGGGGAGGCAAAUAUACAGGCUCGCUGGUGGAGAUCAAGAAGAGGAAGACUUUGCCCUAGUCGCCUGGCGAGAGAGGAACAAAGGCAUGGACGCUUUAUCUCUCUUCCCCUAAACAAAUGCAAGACUAUUUUCUUGAGGGAACUGUUAUGACCGGCACGGUCUAUACUAGGAAGAGGCCCACAGGGCAUUAGUAUUAGGGACUUGGUCCACAAGUUAUCUUAGGAAAUUAUCUUAGGAAAGUUAUCUUAGGCUAAAGUUAUAAAUACUUAUGUAAGACAUCGAUUUGAGGCAAGCAAUAAAGACUAUUAUUAUCUUUUGUUGCCCGGCUCCCAGAGGAGCCGGAAACCCUAGCCGCGCCGCCGCCUUCAACCCUAGCUGCGACGGCGCCCUGCCGCCGGCGCAAUCGCUCCUCCCCUCGCCCUCGCCCUCCUUGCCCCUACAACCUACGCCCUAGGCCUGGUAGAACCCUAGCUGUUUCUACCAAUUUGGUAUCUAGAGACACCAGGCCGAUCAUGUCCCAGCCUCCAUCACCGCCGCCGCUACCAUCCGCCACCGCCCAGCUCUCGCUGCCGCCCGCGCCGUCUACGAUGACGACCGCAUCCGGCACCACCACCGACACCACCGCGCCAGCAGCCGUCGACACCACCACCACCACGCCAUCGGCCGUCACCACCACCAUUACGGCGCCAGCAGCGGUUCCCCCCACGAUCGAAUCGCCGUCGCUGCUCUCGCCCGAGGAAGUGUCCGGCACCCUUCGGGAGUUGGUCCAGGCGGUCCGGGGUAUUUCCCUAUACCUCACCGGGACCCAGCCCCCGCCACCGAGCGCCGUCACCGCCUCCUACGGGCCGCCGCCGCUGCAGUGGCCAGCCUCGGCCUUCCACGUGCCCUACGGCGGGGCGCCUCAGCCGCCGCCGCUGCUGCCCUACCAGGCGGCGGUGCAGCCGUGGCCCGCUUGGCCGGCCUCCACCGUGCUGGGGAGCCCGCCCCAGCAGCUCCUCCCAGCGCCACCGCCGGCUACGACGACGCGGGCGCCGGAGCAGACGGCCCCCCAGGAGCCGCCGCCAUCAACAGCAACACCGCCUGCACCUAGGGCUACGGGUCGGCCCCUGCACCAGGUGCAGUUUCCACCGUCGCCAUCGCCGAUCCCCGCUUGGGCGACCGACCCGUCUUCGGGCACAGCCUACUCCACGCCGCCGGAACACCAGAGGCCUUCCCUGCGGUUUGAUCACCCCUCCAGCUCGGCGAACUACGCCCCGAUGCUGCCCGACCCAGCAUACGCACCGCCGGCGCAUGCGGCCGCCCCAGGGCACGGCGGCCCAACACCCCCUCGCUUCGCCAAACUGGACUUCGCAACCUACGAGGGCACGGAGGACCCCCUCAACUGGCUCAACCAGUGCGAGCAGUUAUUUCGAGGGCAGCGGACGCUCGCUUCGGAUCGCACCUGGCUUGCGUCCUAUCAUCUUCGAGGUGCAGCUCAGACCUGGUAUUACGCCCUCGAGCAGGACGAGGGCGGCAUGCCACCUUGGGAGCGUUUCCGGGAGCUCUGUCUCCUCCGCUUUGGACCCCCUAUCCGCGGGAGCAGACUGGCGGCCCUCGGCCGUUUGCCGUUCACAUCGACGGUGCAGGACUACGCUGACCGCUUCCAGGCCCUGGCAUGCCACGCGCCGGGCGUCUCCGCGACCCGCUGAGCUCUUUGUGGGCGGGUUGCCGGAUCAUAUCCGCGUGGACGUCGAGCUCCGGGACCCCCACGACCUCCAGACGGCCAUGUACUACGCCCGGGCCUUUGAGCAGCGGGCCCAGGCACUGCAGCAGCCACUCGGACGGAGCGGCCGUCAGCCCAGUCGGGCCGCUCUGACUUCUUCAGCAUCGGGUCGGCCCUCCCCUACGACGGCCCCACCCCCGGCGACCACCUGGCCUUUUCGCCGUCUGUCGCCGGCCGAGCAGCAGGAGCGUCGCCGUCAGGGUCUUUGCUUCAACUGCGACGAGCCCUACACGCCGAUCCAUGUCUGCCCCCGCCUCUUCUAUUUAGAGAUGGUGGACUACACCGAGGAGGACGCCUCGGCCGACGCACUACCACCGCCUGCGGCUACGGAGGAUGCGGCUGUGGAUUCCGCGGCAACGGCGUGUGUCAUCUCCCUUCACGCCCUGGCAGGCAUCCGGGGCGAGCGGACCAUGCUGCUGCCCGUAACGAUCCAUGGCGAGCGACUGGUGGCCCUGCUGGAUACGGGCUCCACACACAACUUCCUGCCCGAGUCGACCAUGCGUCGGUUAGCACUCCCAACAACAGGCGGGGAGCGCUUGAGGAUUACAGUGGCAAACGGCGAUCACCUCCGGUGCCAUGGGCUAGCCCGAGACGUUCCCAUCUCCAUCGGCGACGAAAAAUUUUCCAUUACCUGUGCAGGGAUCGAUCUGGGCUGUUUCGACUUCAUUCUCGGGGUGGACUUUCUCCGGACACUAGGGCCCAUACUGUGGGAUUUUGACGCGCUCACGAUGACAUUCUGGCGGCAGGGCCGCUGCAUCCGGUGGGAAGGCCUUGGGGGCGCCGCGCCGGCCGUGCCGCACCUACAGUUGGCCGCCGCGUCCUCAGAGGCCGAGCACCCCCUACUGGAUCCUCUUCUGCAGCAGCACAAUGACAUCUUCGACGAGCCGCGAGGUCUUCCGCCUGCCCGGGUGUACGACCAUCGUAUUCACCUCGUACCGGGCUCCACUCCGGUAGCGGUGCGGCCCUAUCGCUACCCACAGUUGCAGAAGGAUGAGCUGGAGCGCCAGUGUGCCCUGAUGCUCGCCGCAGGCAUCAUCCGCAUCUCCACGUCACCCUUCUCGGCGCCGGUGCUUCUCGUCCGUAAGUCCGACGGCACAUGGCGCUUCUGCAUCGACUACCGCGCCCUCAACGCGCUCAUGCUCAAGGACAAGUUCCCUAUACCGGUGGUCGACGAGCUCUUGGAUGAGCUCCAUGGGGCACGCUUCUUCACCAAGCUCGAUCUCCGGUCGGGCUAUCAUCAGGUGCGCAUGCAUCCGGACGACAUCGCCAAGACGACGUUUCACACCCACCAUGGCCACUUCGAGUUCUUGGUGAUGCCUUUCGUUCUCGCCAACGCCCCGGCAACAUUCCAGGCCCUAAUGAAUGACGUCCUUCGGCCCUACUUACGGCGGUUUGUGCUUGUUUUCUUUGAUGACAUUCUUAUCUACAGCGCUACCUGGGCCGAACAUCUCCAGCACGUCGCCAUCAUCUUCAACGAGCUUCGAGCGCACAACCUCCACCUUAAGUGUUCGAAGUGCUCGUUCGGGACACCUACCGUCGCCUACCUCGGCCAUGUCAUCUCAGCGGACGGGGUGGCUAUGGACGCCGAUAAGGUGGCGGCCGUCUCCGCCUGGCCGACGCCGCACUCGCCGCAGGCUCUCCGCGGGUUCCUCGGACUCGCUGGCUACUACCGGAAAUUUAUCCGGGAGUUCGGACUCAUCGCAGCGCCCCUCGCGCGGUUGCUUCGCCGCGACGCCUUCGCUUGGGACGACGAGGCAACAGCGGCGUUCGAGGCCCUCAAGGGGGCCCUCACGACAGGCCCCGUCCUCCAGAUGCCCGACUUCGACCGCCCGUUCAUGGUGGACUGUGACGCCUCGGGCGCCGGGUUCGGUGCCGUACUUCAUCAGGGCGAUGGGCCCCUCGCUUUCUUCAGCCGACCCUUCGCUCCGCGCCAUCUUAAAUUGGCUGCUUACGAGCGGGAGCUCAUUGGCCUCGUCCAGGCCGUGCGUCAUUGGCGGCCAUACUUGUGGGGACGGACCUUCCACAUUCGUACGGACCACUACAGUCUGAAGUUCUUGCUAGAUCAACGCCUGUCAACCGUGCCGCAGUACCAGUGGAUCAGCAAGCUCUUCGGCUUCGACUUCUCCGUCGAGUAUCGGCCGGGCCGUCUUAACACUGUGGCCGACGCGCUGUCCCUCGCGAUUCCAACCUCGCGCCGGCCGCCGACUCGACCGCCGGGACGGUCCUGUGCAUCCGCUCCGGGCCGUCAUUCAGUCUCUUCGCCGACAUUCGACGCGCUAUUGAGGCGGCAGAUGAUGCCGCCCUAUUACAGCAGCAGCUAGCGGCUGGCACCUUGGAGGAGCCUUGGCGCUUUUCUGAUGGACUGUUCCUCCAUGGGCGCCGGAUCUUUGUUCCGGCGCAUGAUGAUCUCCGUCACCCACUCGGCCGGCCAUGAGGGUGUGCAGAAAACCCUCCAUCGUCUUCGCGCCGACUUCUACAUCCCUGGCGAUCGUGCCCUGGUCCGUGACUGGGUUCGGUCUUGUCAGACUUGCCAGCGCAAUAAGACGGAGACCCUGAGACCGGCGGGGCUUCUUCAGCCCUUGGAAGUGCCAUCUCAGGUUUGGGCGGAUAUUUCCAUGGACUUCAUCGAGGGCCUUCCCAAGGUUGGGGGCAAGUCAGUCAUCCUCACGGUGGUCGAUCGCUUCUCUAAGUAUGCCCACUUCAUCGCGCUCGGCCAUCCGUACACGGCGGCGUCCGUGGCUCGGGCCUUCUUCGACGGCAUUGUCCGUCUCCAUGGGUUCCCGACUUCGAUUGUCAGUGAUCGGGACCCAGUCUUCACAGGCCAUGUCUCGCGCGACCUUUUUCGGAUGGCGGGUGUUCAGCUCCGCCUCAGUACGGCGUUCCAUCCUCAGACAGACGGUCAGUCCGAGGUGGUUAACAGGGUCAUUGCUAUGUAUUUACGUUGUGUGACAGGUGAUCGGCCUCGCGCAUGGGUGGACUGGCUCUCUUGGGCGGAGUACUGCUACAACACUUCUUAUCACUCCGCCCUGCGCGCGACGCCAUUUGAGGUGGUCUAUGGUCGCCCACCCCCGCCUAUACUUCCGGUCGACCCAGAGACAGCCCGAACGGUGGCUGCAGGUGACCUUAUCCGCACCCGUGAUGAGAUGCUAGCGGAGGUCCGUCAGCGCCUACUUCAGGCCCAGCAGACGGCCAAGCACUACUACGACGAUCAUCAUCGCGAGGCGGAGUUCGCCGUGGGCGACUGGGUGUGGCUGCGUCUUCUCCACCGCUCUACGCAGUCACUAGACCCGCGCGCGAAGCGCAAGCUUGGCCCUCGAUACGCCGGGCCCUUCCCUGUCGUGGAGCGCAUCGGGAAGGUGGCCUAUCGUCUUCAGCUUCCAGCCCGCGCCCGCAUCCAUGACGUGUUCCAUGUGGGGCUGCUCAAGCCUUUCCAUGGCGAUCCACCUGAUGCUCCUCCAGCGCUUCCUCCAACCGCCGAGGGUCGCAUUCUUCCUGAGCCAGCAAAGGUGUUGCAGGCCCAGCUCCGUCGUGGCGUCUGGUUCAUUCUAAUUCAGUGGGCGGGCCUUCCGGAGGAGGAGGCUACGUGGGAACAGCGUGAAGAUUUCCUCCAAUACUAUCCAGACUUUCAGCUCGAGGACGAGCUGUUUGUGCAGGCGGGGAGAGAUGUUAUGACCGGCACGGUCUAUACUAGGAAGAGGCCCAUAGGGGAUUAGUAUUAGGGACUUGGUCCACAAGUUAUCUUAGGAAAUUAUCUUAGGAAAGUUAUCUUAGGCUAAAGUUAUAAAUACUCAUGUAAGACAUCGAUUUGAGGCAAGCAAUAAAGACUAUUAUUAUCUUUUGUUGCCCGGCUCCCAGAGGAGCCAGAAACCCUAGCCGCGCCGCCGCCUUCAACCCUAGCUGCGACGGCGCCCUGCCGCCGGCGCAACCGCUCCUCCCCUCGCCCUCCCCUCCUUGCCCCUACAACCUACGCCCUAGGCCUGGUAGAACCCUAGCUGUUUCUACCAGGAACAAAUUGAAGACUAGUUUAGUUGGAUUUUAGCCAAAUAUUUCUUAAAUUUUAGCCAAAUCUUUUUCUCAACGUAUUUGUCUCGACGAAUCUGAAGAUUUACACCAGGAGCACUUUCGCUGAACCCCGGUAAUCCUCGCAAGCAGACUGAUCGGACGCCCAGAAAUCGUUGACAUUCCACGUGUCCUCCAUCCGACCAUCAGCCCCCUCCCACCCAAUCCCCAAAUCCACACACCCUUUCCCUUCCCACGAAUCCAAACCCCAAACCCCCACGCGCACCGGCGUCCGCCGGAGAACCUCCCCGCCGGCCGCCGCCAUGCCGCCGCCUCUCCAGGCCCACCGCAUACUCCUCUCCCACCGCCGCGCAUCCCCUAUCCCUCGCCGCCGCUUCACCGCGGUCUCUUCCCUCUCCUCCGCCCCCGCCAAGACCGUGGCCCCGGGCCCGCCCGCCUCCUCCAUCCUCUCCAUCCGCGAGUCGCUCCUGUCCGGCGAGAGGACCGCCGCAGACAUCACCUCCGAGUACCUCUCCCGCCUCCGCCGCACCGAGCCGAGCCUGCGCAGCUUCAUCCACGUGGCCGACGCCGCCGCCGAGCGGGAGGCCGAGGAGCUCGACCGGAGGAUUGCCUCGGGUGGGAAGGAUGCGGUGGGGCCGCUCGCCGGGGUGCUCGUGGGCGUCAAGGACAACCUCUGCACCGCCAGCAUGCCCUCCACCGGCGGGUCGCGGAUACUGGACGGGUUCCAGCCCGCGUACGACGCCACGGCCGUGCGGCGGCUGCGCGAGGCGGGCGCCAUUGUGGUGGGGAAGACUAACCUCGAUGAGUUCGGCAUGGGGAGCACCACCGAGGGCUCUGGGUUUCAGGUACGGAGGCUCACCGAUCAGAUCCUGCAAAAAGUGCCAAGAAUGGCAGUAGAUGCGUAUUUAUGCUGGUCCGUAGAGGUCAAUAAAAUCAAAUUUGGUUAGUUUGUAUAUUGAAUUGCAAAUACAUGCUGCAGUGUUUAGAUCGUUGAGGUCAAUCAAAUCAAACUUGGGACUCGGCGUCUCAGUUCAUCUACUAUUGAAUUGCAAAUACAUGUUGCAAGUGUUUAUUGAUGUGAAUGGAACUUCUUGCUGCUUCCAAAUUUCUUAAACAUACCUCUAGUUUCCUCUGUUGCAUAAUAAUUACGGCCCUAUGGGAUGACAUAACAUUAACGGAUAACACUGAUCGUAUGCAGGUGACAACAAACCCUUGGGACGAUUCGCGCGUGCCUGGGGGGUCCUCGGGUGGUUCUGCUUCUGCGGUUUCUGCUAGACAAUGUGUGGUGUCCUUAGGGAGUGAUACAGGUGGAAGUGUGAGGCAACCGGCAUCGUUUUGUGGUGUGGUAGGGUUAAAGCCAACUUAUGGCCGGGUAUCUCGUUUUGGCCUCAUGGCUUAUGCUUCAUCACUGGAUGUUGUGGGAUGCUUUGGAUCAUCAGUUUUUGACACUGCAACCAUAUUGUCCGUCAUUGCUGGCCAUGACAAAAUGGAUUCAACCAGUAGCUCUCAUGUAAGGAAACUGAAACUUAACCUUAAUGUACAUCUUACAUUUUUUGUUUGUUUCAAUCUAGAUAUGGUUUCAUAUGAUUUAGCUGGCAAUUGCUUAUACUUUCCUUAGGUUCAUCGAGUUCAAUAACUAUCACUAAGAAAGUAAGAAGCAGCCUUUUAGCAUGCAAGCAUGUAGUACGAAACAUGAACAGAAGUCAUAUGGCUAUUAACUUGCCUGAGCGACCUUAUCUUGUGUUGACAACUGUCAUUCUUAAUGAGGAGGAUUCUCUCGUUGUACGUUUCCUUCUCAUGAAUCAUGAUUUUUGUGUGUCACUUGUUUGAUGCACUUAUGAUGUUGAACUGUUGCCAACCACUGUGAAAUGCUAUUGCCCAUUUACUUUGUGAGGGCAGAAGGACUACAUACUGCUGCCCCUCUCAACCAUAUAAAAUGCUAAUGCAAUUCACUAUGUGUAAGAAAAAAAUGCAAUGCACGCUUGUAGUGUUUCUUUGCAAAGCGUUAAAAUUCUUCAUUUAUUUUGUUCUGGAUCCACAUCUUGCAAGCGGAUCGGGAACCAGUAGAUCUCGAAGCAAGACGGCAAUAAGCUUGGUUCCUUACUGCUCAGUCUGAUCUCUUGUAUCACUUUCUCAGGAUGUUCCAGACUAUAGAUCAGACUUGGCAUCUCUAAGUUUACUAGAAUCAAAACCAUUAAAUAAUGUGAGAAUUGGGAUUAUCCAAGAAACUCUUGGAGAGGGUGUGGAUGCUGGAGUCGUAUCAUCAAUCAGGUCUGCUGCUUCGCAUCUGGAACAGCUGGGAUCAGUAGUGGAAGAGGUUUGUUGCUUCCCUUUUGCUGGAAAAAGAAUAAACAUAAAUAAAGAUGGAUAUUUUUUCUUGUUCUAUGAGGGAUUUCUGAAAGAUAAUAAUGCUUUUCAGGUUUCGAUGCCUUCAUUUUCUCUUGGCUUACCAGCAUAUUACAUACUGGCCUCUUCUGAAGCCUCAUCUAAUUUGUCACGCUAUGAUGGCAUCAGGUGGUACUUGAACCUCAUCCUUCUCCAGUUAUUUUUUCCUUUCUAUCAAUAUUUAUGUUCUUGGAAAGUCAUUUUCAGGUAUGGGCAGCAGGUUUCAGCUGAUGACUUGAAUGAGAUGUAUGGAGAUUCCCGGGCUAAUGGUCUCGGUCAUGAGGUACAGUGCCUCCACCGGGCCACCCAAGAGCCUCCUCCCCACUUCUCAGUAUCUGUCCUUAUUGUGAAUAAAUGAAUAUUAGUACUAUGGAAACGGUUUUCUGCCAAAUAGGAAGCAUAGGAAGCUAUCACACGUGUUAGUCCUGCAUGAGUUUAGAAAGCUGAUUCGGUCCAUCAUCAAGCAUAGCUUUUAAUUUAGUACCGGCGAGUAUAUACAUGCAUAAAUAAACUUCUGUUGCGUGCCAUGGCCAUGCUAAGCUGUGUAACCCAACCAAAUCUGCACAUGUCAUUGUCGGUGAUACCAUGCUAGUAGGAAUGCUAAUUGUAUUGAUAUUGUGUGUAACACGCCAGCUGAACCUAUAAUACCUAAGCAAGGAAAAAGGAUAAUAGUUCUGUAUGCAACGCGGGGUAUUACUUAUAUAUUUUGUGUUUUCAGUGGACUACAGUAAUGGUUUGCGGUAAAUCACAUGAAGUAUAAUUUUGAUUGCUCUUUUCAGGUCAAAAUGAGAAUUUUGAUGGGCACCUAUGCAUUAUCUGCUGGAUACUAUGAUGCAUACUACAAGCGAGCGCAACAGGUAACCAUAGGAAGGGAGCCCCCAGUGCGAAUUUGCAUUUUGAUUAUUAUUACCUCUUAACUUAACUGACAAAAUUUACACUGUAGUAGGUGAGGACGCUGGUUAAGAAAAGCUUCGAAGAAGCUUUGGGAAAAUACGAUAUUCUUAUUUCACCUGCUGCUCCAUCAGCAGCCUACAAGAUAGGUAGGGUAUUAUCUGCUCACUCGUAAUCCUGUCCUCCCUAAAAAAGAAGUAUGGUCCCUUCUCUGCUUUCCUCUCACAUUGAUAACUUGACCCCAUUUGGCAGGUGAAAAGACAAAUGAUCCAUUAGCUAUGUACGCUGGAGACAUCAUGACGGUAAUAAAUUGUUGAACGCGCUUUUUUAACGCAUAACUGCAGACUUAUCUCUGUGUUUCCCUUAGCUCCAAUGUAAUAACUAAUAAGUAGUAAUGUUGCCUGCCUCAUCAUGCACCUUUUAGUUUCUUGCAAAGAUAGUUUGGCAUAUUCUUAAAAUUACCAGCCGAAGUAGAAUUCUUUUCAGAGUCAUUUAGCGAUGUUAAAAGCUACCAUGGUAGCGAGAUCUUGAAGAGCGCAGUGCAAAUCUGAUAUGACUGAUGCAGGUGAAUGUGAACAUGGCUGGGCUUCCUGCAUUGGUUGUGCCUUGUGGAUUCGUCGAAGGUGGGUCCGCGGGUCUCCCAGUCGGGCUUCAGAUGAUCGGAUCUCCCUUCAGUGAGGUAAGAUACCGACCUGAAUGAAAUAGCAUCAUUCCAGGACUAGUGCAGUUCCCCUUCCGGAGUGAUACCAUUGAUGGCCUUUUUUCUCUUCAUAAUUUACAGGGGAGUUUGCUAAGAGUAGGCCACAUCUUCGAACAAACGCUGCAGGAUCUCAGUUUUGUUCCACCACUGCUGGCGGAUGGCUAGCCAGCCGCAUCGGCCCCUUCCUUUCUGUCUUUGGUUUAGAGCGGUUUUCUGCAAGCAGUUCAUAGGGCUACGUGGGUUUAGAGGGCCCUCUUUUCAUUCAUUCCUAAAGUUUUGAGAUAUAUGUUUCAUUUCAUGGUUGUAUGCCGAGGAAGCUGGUUGUACACAUGUUUCCCCCGUGGGAGUCAGCAGUUGGGGACCGAGUCUGGGACGCCAUGUGCACAUGUGUAACUCCUGCAAUGCACAUUCAAUAUGGGCCGACAUCGAUGACAUAUUUUUUGUAAUCCCGGUUCACAUCAGCGAUAUUUUGCAAAUCCUUUUGACUCGACUGAUAACAGUGCAGGCUGUUCACGGCUACUUUCAUGUGCAUCACACGUCCUGUAACGAUCACUGAUUAGAGUGGAGUGGUGUGGGAAACAUAGGCAUAAGAAAAACGCAGGAUUAGAGUGGUAUGUACACAGUACAUGAAUCUUGUAGGAAUUGACAACCAAAGGAAUUCGCACCAAACCGUGUUUUAUACACUGCAGGGCAUAAAGAAAAGAGGUUUGAGCGGGUGAAAAUUUUCCUCCAAAGUACUAGAGUGCAAAUCAAAGGACCUGCAUCGGAAAAAAGUUCCUAAAGAUUCAAACCCUCCAAAAAAAAUCACAUACAAUUCCUUUGAAUCAAAGAAGCCCUUAAGAAACAGUCUAACCAAGCGAGUCCGUGCUUACAAAAGUUCACGUUCAAUAAUAUCUUUUGUCGUAGGUUCAACAUGGAUAAUAGCAAAUCCUUUUGACUGAUUGAUGAUAGUGCGAGCUGUCCAUGGGUUUAUGUGAAUCACGUUCUUGUGACCAUCAGUGAUCCAUCGGCCCGGCUAGUCUUUUAAGAGAUUUCACUAUGAACUACUCCCUCCGUCCCAAAAUAUAACAACGUUUUUGACACUAGCAUAAUGUUAAAAAUGUUCUUAUAUUCUGGGACAGGUACAUACAGAGCAAAAUGAGUGAAUCUACGUUCUAAAAUAUGUCUAUACAUCCGUAUACAGUUUAUAUUGUAAUCUCUAAAAAGACUUAUAUUUAGAAACGGAGGGAGUACUUUAUUUCAAGGUUCACAACAACCUAAAUCUUAUUUUACACUUCACAUAAGUUCAGAAUUUAAUAUUUAUCUUGGUGCCAUGUUAUCACACAUCAUCUAUUUCCUCCAGGAAAAGUUGAGAAAAGAAUAGAGUAGAUGCCCCAGAAUACACGGCCAAAAAGAAGGAUACAAGUCUGCAGCAGAGCAGGUUCACAGCGAAGCAUGCCGAAAUCCAGAUACACAAUGUCUGAAUAAAUAUGCAACUAAAACGAGCGUGCAGGGAAAUGAAAUACAGUAAUACGGUACAAAAGAAUUUUUACUACUGCACAUAGCCACUAGUUUCACCAGCAAUGUUUGGUUCCCAAAAGUACACAGAGAGAGAUUAUUUUGGGUCUUGGAUGGCCAUAAUUCAGGUUGCACACAGCCUGAAACAAAAACCUCCGCCACUCUAUAAACAGAUGUCAUUCUGGGGCUCCAGCACCAGAACUUAUUGUUUCCACCACUGCAAGGAGAAGAAAUAUGCCGUUAAAGAAACAGAAACAAAGUCGAG